AACAAGAAAGGAAGGGGAGACAGCAUAGCGGAAAGCACCGGUUUUGUUUCCGCUUCUUUUGUUUCUUCUUCUUCUUUUCCGCUUUCUUUUCUUCUUUUG
rnacentral:ribozyme from 16 species